GCCAGACUCCUACGGGAGGCAGCAGUGGGGGAUAUUGCACAAUGGGGGGAACCCUGAUGCAGCGACGCCGCGUGGGUGAAGAAGCGCCUCGGCGCGUAAAGCCCUGUCAGCAGGGAAGAAAAUGACGGUACCUGAAGAAGAAGCCCCGGCUAACUACGUGCCAGCAGCCGCGGUAAUACGUAGGGGGCGAGCGUUAUCCGGAUUCACUGGGUGUAAAGGGAGCGUAGACGGCCAAGCAAGCCAGGGGUGAAAGCCCGGGGCCCAACCCCGGGACUGCCCUUGGAACUGCUUGGCUGGAGUGCGGGAGGGGCAGGCGGAAUUCCUGGUGUAGCGGUGAAAUGCGUAGAUAUCAGGAGGAACACCGGCGGCGAAGGCGGCCUGCUGGACCACUACUGACGUUGAGGCUCGAAAGCGUGGGGAGCGAACAGGAUUAGAUACCCGAGUAUA
rnacentral:rRNA from 1 species